GAUGAACGCUGGCGGCGUGCUUAACACAUGCAAGUCGAACGGUGAAGGCGGAGCUUGCUCUGCUGGAUCAGUGGCGAACGGGUGAGUAACACGUGAGCAAUCUGCCCCUGACUCUGGGAUAAGCGCUGGAAACGGCGUCUAAUACUGGAUACGAGCUGCGAAGGCAUCUUCAACAGCUGGAAAGAACUUCGGUCAGGGAUGAGCUCGCGGCCUAUCAGCUUGUUGGUGAGGUAACGGCUCACCAAGGCGUCGACGGGUAGCCGGCCUGAGAGGGUGACCGGCCACACUGGGACUGAGACACGGCCCAGACUCCUACGGGAGGCAGCAGUGGGGAAUAUUGCACAAUGGGCGAAAGCCUGAUGCAGCAACGCCGCGUGAGGGACGACGGCCUUCGGGUUGUAAACCUCUUUUAGCAGGGAAGAAGCGAAAGUGACGGUACCUGCAGAAAAAGCGCCGGCUAACUACGUG
rnacentral:rRNA from 1 species